GACGUAGGUGGCAAGCGUUGUCCGGAUUUAUUGGGCGUAAAGAGCUCGUAGGCGGCUUGUCGCGUCGGCUGUGAAAACCCGCGGCUCAACUGUGGGCGGGCAGCUGAUACGGGCAGGCUAGAGUUCGGUAGGGGGAGACUGGAAUUCCUGGUGUAGCGGUGAAAUGCGCAGAUAUCAGGAGGAACACCGGUGGCGAAGGCGGGUCUCUGGGCCGAUACUGACGCUGAGGAGCGAAAGCGUGGGGAGCGAACAGG
rnacentral:rRNA from 1 species